rnacentral:rRNA from 1 species
UACGUAGGGUGCGAGCGUUGUCCGGAAUUACUGGGCGUAAAGAGCUCGUAGGUGGUUUGUCGCGUUGUCCGUGAAAACUCACAGCUUAACUGUGGGCGUGCGGGCGAUACGGGCAGACUGGAGUACUGCAGGGGAGACUGGAAUUCCCGGUGUAGUGGUGGAAUGCGUAGAUAUCGGGAGGAACACCAGUGGCGAAGGCGGUUACCUGGAGCUUUGCUGACGCUGAUGCGCGAAAGCGUGGGGAGCGAUCCGG